GUGGGGAAUAUUGGACAAUGGGCGAAAGCCUGAUCCAGCAAUGCCGCGUGAGUGAUGAAGGCCCUAGGGUUGUAAAGCUCUUUUACCGGGGAUGAUAAUGACAGUACCUGGAGAAUAAGCUCCGGCUAACUCCGUGCCAGCAGCCGCGGUAAUACGGAGGGAGCUAGCGUUGUUCGGAAUUACUGGGCGUAAAGCGCGCGUAGGCGGUGUUUUAAGUCAGAGGUGAAAGCCCGGGGCUCAACCCCGGAAUUGCCUUUGAAACUGGAAAACUUGAAUCUUGGAGAGGUCAGUGGAAUUCCGAGUGUAGAGGUGAAAUUCGUAGAUAUUCGGAAGAACACCAGUGGCGAAGGCGACUGACUGGACAAGUAUUGACGCUGAGGUGCGAAAGCGUGGGGAGCAAACAGGAUUAGAAACCCCUGUAGUCC
rnacentral:rRNA from 1 species